rnacentral:rRNA from 2 species
UUGGAUCCAGACUUUGAUCAUGGCUCAGGAUGAACGCUGGCGGCGUGCUUAACACAUGCAAGUCGAGCGAAGCGCUUAUGAAAGGUUCUUCGGAUGAUUUCAUUCGUGACUGAGCGGCGGACGGGUGAGUAACGCGUGGGUAACCUGCCUCAUACAGGGGGAUAACAGUUGGAAACGACUGCUAAUACCGCAUAAGCGCACAGUACCGCAUGGUACCGUGUGAAAAACUCCGGUGGUAUGAGAUGGACCCGCGUCUGAUUAGCUAGUUGGUGGGGUAACGGCCUACCAAGGCGACGAUCAGUAGCCGACCUGAGAGGGUGACCGGCCACAUUGGGACUGAGACACGGCCCAAACUCCUACGGGAGGCAGCAGUGGGGAAUAUUGCACAAUGGGGGAAACCCUGAUGCAGCAACGCCGCGUGAGUGAAGAAGUAUUUCGGUAUGUAAAGCUCUAUCAGCAGGGAAGAAAAUGACGGUACCUGACUAAGAAGCCCCGGCUAACUACGUGCCAGCAGCCGCGGUAAUACGUAGGGGGCAAGCGUUAUCCGGAUUUACUGGGUGUAAAGGGAGCGUAGACGGCGAGACAAGUCUGAAGUGAAGCCCGGGGCUCAACCCCGGGACUGCUUUGGAAACUGCCUUGCUAGAGUGCUGGAGAGGUAAGUGGAAUUCCUAGUGUAGCGGUGAAAUGCGUAGAUAUUAGGAGGAACACCAGUGGCGAAGGCGGCUUACUGGACGGUAACUGACGUUGAGGCUCGAAAGCGUGGGGAGCAAACAGGAUUAGAUACCCUGGUAGUCCACGCCGUAAACGAUGGAUGCUAGGUGUUGGGGAGCAAAGCUCUUCGGUGCCGCCGCAAACGCAUUAAGCAUUCCACCUGGGGAGUACGUUCGCAAGAAUGCAACUCAAAUGAAUUGACGGA